rnacentral:rRNA from 1 species
AUGGACAACCACGUAGAGCGCCGGCGGCAGAGGCAGAAGCAGAUACUCGAGAAAUUCAGGAAAAUGGAGGCGAAGGUGAGGAUGGCGAUUCCUCAACGGCCCGAAGAGCCGCCAACCAUCUGCGAGGUCCCUCUCACCGAGGACAACGCCCCCACGGUCGUUUGCAUCGGCCCGCUCUUAGUAGACAGCAACCGCAAAACGGCCAGCAUGCUCAGGCUCGAGAAUUACAAGUGGUGCUGCAUCCGCAAACUCAUUGUGGGGCACCACCCAAUCGGAACCUUGGAGUCGACGGACUGGUCGUUGGAGGCACACACGCCAAUGCUUCGCAAGUGCUUCGGCAUGAUGAUUCGCCUGGUGCCGCAAGUUCGUGCCUUCUAUAGCAACAUUUCUUCCUCCAAGGAUACCAAGGGUGGCGUCGACAAUAGCAGGCAAGAGCUGGCGAUCAAGAUGCUGCUCGACGGAUGCUUCGUCCUCCACCGCCUUCUCAAGUAUGCACGGGAAGCAAAUGGUGGCAGUGAUGAUGAUGACUACUGGAACCAGCAUCUCGACCGGUGCUUCGUCUGGGAAACCGUGAAGCACGACCUACUGCUGCUGAGGAACCAGGUUCCCUUCUUCGUCCUUCGGAAGCUAUUCAAGCACCUCAGGAGCAACCCCGACGAGCGCGACGACGUCCUCGUCAAUGGUGGCCUCCAGCUCUUCAGCUCGCUCCGUCCUCGAAGUCUGCACGCCGCGCCCAUUGCCUGCGACGACGUGCACCACCUCCUCCACCUAUUCUACCUGUCCAUCGACCUCCCGCUGUCGUGUUCGCACCAGGACUCCGCCUGCAAGAACGCCGCACUGCCAACAGGGCAAACGUGGUGGGUGCCAUGCGCCAAGGAGCUGGAGGAGGCCGGUGUUCGGCUCUGUGCACGUAAGCAUGGUGCUGUGAGCUUCCUCGACGUGAGGUUCCACGGAGGCAAUCUAGAGAUCCCACCGCUCCAGCUAUUCGACUACAGCGAACCCCUGUUCCGCAACCUAAUCGCAUUCGAGCAGACCAACCCGGCAACGUCGGGCCGCAUCACCGAAUACGCAAUCUUUAUGGACUGCCUCGUCAAGACAAAGGAAGACUUGCACCUCCUCCACCAAAGCGGCGUGCUGGUCAACCACAUGAACGAUGAGAGAGGCGAUACAGCAGUGCAGUUCUUCAGGCGCCUCUGCACGGAGGCGCACACCUCUGCUGACCGCAACUACCUCGCCGGCGUGAUGGAGGAGGUCGUCAGGUACCAUAGAGGAAAGUGCCCCCACUGGCGUGACAUUCCGGUGAGAAACUUCACCAACCCGUGCCCGACCAUGUGGGUCGUUGCCGGUGUGAUCGUGCUCGCCAUGACCGUGUUGCAGUCCUUCUACAAUAUCGAUGGCUAA